UACGUAGGGGGCUAGCGUUGUCCGGAAUCAUUGGGCGUAAAGCGCGUGUAGGCGGUCCGGUAAGUCCGCUGUGAAAGUCGGGGGCUCAACCCUCGAAUGCCGGUGGAUACUGUCGGGCUAGAGUGCGGAAGAGGCGAGUGGAAUUCCUGGUGUAGCGGUGAAAUGCGCAGAUAUCAGGAGGAACACCAAUGGCGAAGGCGACAUCCUGGACCGGUAUUGACGCUGAGGCGCGAAAGCCAGGGGAGCAAACGGG
rnacentral:rRNA from 1 species